GAUCGGGUUUCUAAAAGCUAUUUCAACCCCCCUCCCAGUUACUGCCACCCUCUCCCAGGUCUAGAGAGGGGUACCCACGGUGGAGGGAGGUGGGAGGCCGAGACGGCCCCGGGGGUCGGCGGAGACCCAGCGGGAGCAGGGGGAAAUCGGAAGAGCUGGGGGCAUGGAGCGGGCGAGUUUGGAGCGGAAUGAGCCGGGAGCCCUACGUUGUGGAAGGAAGACAACAGUAUAGGACCAUCAGCAGGACCGGACAGAGAGGGGCACACCAGGCUGGCCUUGAACUCAGAAAUCCGCCUGCCUCUGACUCCCGAGUGCUGAGAUUAAAGGUGUGCACCACCACACCCGACAAGGAAGCCUGUUUUAAGAAGUGAUUCCAUGGAGGAGUUCUGCGGCGGCUCAGGGCUUGACUAAACAGUGGACCUCAGACAAGAGAGGCUAAACCAGGCUGCAGGUGACAGGAAGAAUUGAAUAAACUGAAAGCAAAGGGCAGCCUUCUAAUUACGCUUCGUGGCUAUGUGGACAACCUGGAGAAGUCUGGAAACCUUUCCUCCUCCAUUUUACUACUUGAGGGAGCAGUGGGUGGGAUACUAGAAAGAAGCCAGAAGCCCGAAGCCAGCAGUAGAGCUCUGACUGGCUUGUAUGCCUAGAAAGGAAGGGCUCUUCUUUCGCCUCACGGGCACAAAUGGGACCCACGAGCGCCGAUUUCAGACUAUUCUGAUCCCUUCAAAAAGAAAGUUAGGAGUCCAGGCUACUGUGAGUGAAUUUGAUUCUAAUUGUUUCAGAGAAUAUGGAAUAAAAUAUCUCAUUUGCAGUU
rnacentral:lncRNA from 1 species